rnacentral:lncRNA from 1 species
ACGACGCAGCCCUGGCACAAUUCACCAGUGUCCGUUUCCGUGAGGUAUUUCCAUGGAGGCUAGCGCAGCGGUAACAAAGUGCCUCCCAGAGGUGGGCAGGGAGCAUCGGCGUAGGCGCUGGCCCAGGCCAGCCUGUGGCAGUCCCAGGUCUGUCCCUCCAGCUGCUUCCCCAUUUGCGUGCAGGCCCCCUCUGGCUCAGUACUGGGACGGGGGGUCAGCCUGGUGAAAAGGCCGCUGUGUCUGGACUCGGCUGAAGAUGGGCUGGGUGACCUCUCGCUCCUUCUCCCUUCCAGAGAGCAAACGCGACCUCUACGACCGCUACGGCAAGGACGGGCUCACGGGGGCCGCAGGGUCCAGGGGACCGAGGGCUGAGGAUGGAGCCCCUGGAUUUACUUUCAACUUUGCCGUCAUCCGUGACAUCCUCAGAGAGUUCUUUGGGGGACGAGAUCCUUUCUAUGGUGCGACUGGUGCUGAGAGGAGCAACACGGAAGCAGCAAGGAACGAAUCCCACCCUGGAUACGAGUCGCAUGAAGCAUGCAAUGACUUGCACGAGGGAUAUGAGUUUUA